rnacentral:rRNA from 1 species
GACGAACGCUGGCGGCGUGCUUAACACAUGCAAGUCGAGCGGUAAGGCCCCUUCGGGGGUACACGAGCGGCGAACGGGUGAGUAACACGUGAGCAAUCUGCCCAUCACAUCGGGAUAAGCCUAGGAAACUGGGUCUAAUACCGAAUACGACCACCUCCGGCAUCGGAUGGUGGUGGAAAGUUCCGGCGGUGAUGGAUGAGCUCGCGGCCUAUCAGCUUGUUGGCGGGGUAACGGCCCACCAAGGCAACGACGGGUAGCCGGCCUGAGAGGGUGACCGGCCACACUGGGACUGAGACACGGCCCAGACUCCUACGGGAGGCAGCAGUGGGGAAUAUUGGACAAUGGGCGAAAGCCUGAUCCAGCAACGCCGCGUGAGGGAUGACGGCCUUCGGGUUGUAAACCUCUUUCAGCAGGGACGAAGCGAAAGUGACGGUACCUGCAGAAGAAGCACCGGCCAACUACGUGCCAGCCGCCGCAGUAAGAC